CAUAGUCUCACGACUCUCGGCAACGGAUAUCUUGGCUCUUGCAUCGAUGAAGAACGUAGCAAAAUGCGAUACCUGGUGUGAAUUGCAGAAUCCUGUGAACCAUCGAGUUUUUGAACGCAAGUUGCGCCCGAGGCCUCCUGGCUAAGGGCACGUCUGCCUGGGCG
rnacentral:rRNA from 1 species